UUUCGAUACAGGAGCAGAUAAAAACAAGGUAGAAUCUGUUGUAAAUCUGGUUGGCAGGUAAGUUUAUUUCUACCGUCUUCUCUAUCUAGGCUUUACUUACUGUCUGUCUUGUGUUAUCUGUCCAUCAUCAAUAAACAAUUAAGUUUGGUUGUGUGCAUUGUAAGCCGUUAAAAGGUUUGGAUAGAUCAUUAAAAGGUUUUAGUUGAUUGAGAUUGAGAUUUUAUUGAUUUGGAUGAUCAUUGAAAGGGUGUUCAUGAUUUUGUUUUUGCAUUACGAGACAAGUCUUGCAGUAGAAUCUCAGCCAAAACAGGUAAGGACCUUGAACUCAGUUUUGAUUAUAAGCAGCAGGAUAUGUGUAAUUUUAAACUCUAAGGUCAUUCUCUGUUAGUUGGUUUAUUCUUUUGUGCUUACCAUCUUCUCUGAUUUAGAUUUGUUCAAUUUUUUUUGGCUUCUAAUGCAGUUUUUGUUACAUCUUUUGGAUUGGCUGGGUUAUAGUUUGAAAAAGGGUGAGAGCAGUUGUCAGUUUCUGAUCAUCUGUGGAGGAAUUUGGUUUGUAGUUUUCAAUCGAUUUGAUUUGCAGAGGGAGCUAGAUUCGUCAGUUUUGUUCUGCUGGAGAAGAAGACAAAUUUGGGUUGUGCAUAUUGAAGGGAGAGAGGUUUGAAGUGGAAGCAAAGAAAAGAGGUUUGGUUGUUAACUUUAUUCAUCUUUGUCGUUGUUUUAUAUAUUGUAUCGGUUACGGAUGUUGGGUUUAUGAGAUUACACUUGAUCAGAAUAAAUUGUUAAUCUGUUCAACUUAAAUCAGUUUGGGUUUUCCUAUUUUUUUUAUUACUUCCAUGGUUGUUGCUUAUGCUUUGAAAAGGCAGGAAAGAAAUGUGUAUGGAUUUGGGGACUGAAUCAAAUUAGGAUUUGUUAAGCAUUUGGGUUUAAAUUUGGAUUUGUUUAGCAUUUGAAUUUGUUUAUGGAUCAGUUUGAUUUCUGAGUAGAUCUUGCAGUUUUGUUUUCUUUUGUUGUGCAUUUUCAGCUGCAAAUAUGCUACAUUAGUUGAUUACUUCAGUGGACUUAUUGUCCAUUGUUUUGUAGUACAUUUUCUCCAGUGCAGUUUUGUUUUCCAUCAAAAAGAAAAAAAAUAUAUGUCCCAUCUUUGGUGUAUGGUUAUGGCAAUUGUAUAUCAGACUUCUUUGACUAUAAUUUUCAACUCAAAUCACAAACAAAUUCCUCCUCAUUUUGAAAAGUUGCUGUGCCCAUCUUCGUUUCUCCUGUUGACGUUAGCUCCACUACUGUCAUUCCCCUCUAACCGUAGGCUCAGAGAGGCAGAGUGUUACACAAGAGUAUUUGAGUUUUUUUUAACUCUCUGAUACAUAAAGAAUCUGCCUCAUUACCUUUCCAUUUCCUUUUGACGUUCAAAGGGUGCCCAAAGAUCCAUUUUCAUUUUAGCAUUUUGUUUUAACAUUCCUUUUAUUUUCCCUUAUUUAUCUUGAAUUACUUUUUACCAAUGCCUCAAGUCCAUCUUAUUACUGGUAAUGAAUGCUCCUGCAAUUUUGGGUUGUUCUUGUACAUCUUAUGUACUUAUAAACUGUUUUUUCUAGUUCUGUUAUUAUUGCUUUCUUUUUCUCGUUUUUAUAAUUAACUCACCGUAAUGCAUAUAGCAUCCUUACAACCCAAAUGAGGAGUAUGCAGAUGUGGAAUCCACAUUGCGUUCGCAUUUGGAAUCUUUUCUAGAAACUACAAGAUCAUUCAAUAUGAUUUACACCAAGGAAAUACGUCCCUGGACACACAUGAUGGAGGUACCCCAGCUCCAUGGGUUCGGGCCUGCAGCCAAUCGCUUAUUGGAGGCAUAUAAGAUGCUUUUGAAGAAACCUGUCGAGGAUAAUGUUGAGAAUAAGAAGAAAAGGAAAGAGAUAGGGGAGGAGAGGUAGCAGCCAAUACACCCAAGCAGAUACUGAUCAAGUGCGAAAUGAGUGGGAGAAGUUUGUUGUCAACACAUAUGUGCAUGAGCCGUGAAGUAGCGUGCUUGUUGCUGGUCCAUUUUUGCUAAGGAAAGCAUCUUUCUUUGUGCUUCUCUGCUGGUACAUUGUCAUGCACCAUGUGUUGCAUGUUUUGGAACAAUGGAUAUAUAUGUAUCAACUUUUUGAUGUCCCAAGUAGAUGGGCAUGCACUAGAAUGUUUUUCUUGUGU